GUUGCUUGCCUAGUGAAGUCUCAGUGCCA
rnacentral:piRNA from 1 species